UUUUUCAUUAUUAUUUUUGCUGCACGCGAGAAACAUGACACACGUGCGUGGUAAAUAUUGAACGCACGUGCGGGAUAAAAAUUAAACGCAGUUUCUUAUUUAUAACGUUGGCGGUGAGUUGGAGCUUGCGGAUCGAUAUUGACGCGUGUAGGGGCGACAUUAUGGUGGGAGAGGCACCGCUUUCUGAAAGCGUUCGACGGCAUGGGAAACUCAUGGCAAUGUGGCGACGGAGAGGGAGCGGUGAAAACCUUGGUAAAUGUGAGAACGGUUGUUGAGGUGAAGAGAAAAUAGUACGGCGAAGUAUCCAGCAGUGACAAAGAAUUUACGGUAGAGUUUGUAGCUGAGUUGGGAGGGGCGAGCAUAAGGGACGAAGGGAUAAGAAACAUGUCGGAUGAGAUCAUACCAGCACUAAAGCACCGGAUCCCAUAAGAACUCUGAAGCUAAUCGUGCUUGGGCGACAGUAGUACUAGGAUGGGUGACCUCCUGGGAAGUCCUCGUGUUGCAUUCUC
rnacentral:rRNA from 1 species